rnacentral:tRNA from 1 species
GGGGAUGUAGCUUAGUGGUAAAGUGCUUGCCUAGCAUGCACGAGGCUCUGGGUUCAAUCCCAAGUACCA